rnacentral:rRNA from 1 species
UACGGAGGGUGCAAGCGUUGUCCGGAAUCACUGGGCGUAAAGGGCGCGUAGGCGGCUCGGUAAGUAGGGGGUGAAAUCCUGCGGCUUAACCGCAGGGCUGCCUUCUAAACUGUCGAGCUUGAGCACGGUAGAGGCAGAUGGAAUUCCCGGUGUAGCGGUGGAAUGCGUAGAGAUCGGGAAGAACAUCAGUGGCGAAGGCGGUCUGCUGGGCCGUUGCUGACGCUGAGGCGCGAAAGCCAGGGGAGCAAACGGG